GGGAAUGUGGCUUAGUGGUAGAGUGCUUGCCUGGAAUGCAUGAAGCCCUGGGUUCGAUUCCUUAGUACCA
rfam:Dipodomys ordii contig_70519, whole genome shotgun sequence.